CUCUAUUCAUUCAAUACAAGGACUAACCCUUAUAUAGGAGUUUACAAGACUUAGCUUACAAGUCAAGCAAGCCAACUAACUCAUAAGCACAUAUUGAGCUCAAUCACACUAAGCAUAAAGAAGGGUAGAUUACACCUAACAUGGACAUCCAUAGUUGUUGAUAAACAUCACUAAUGUAGUAAAAGAAAGAAAGAAAGAAAGAAAGAAAAAGUACGUCCUAGAGUUACCCUCCUCUAAGGAUAUUAAGUUGCUUUACAAAGAAAUUACCAUUAUUAUUGCCCUUAAUUACACCUUGAUUAGCAAGAAUAUUUCCUCCCAUCACGAUUUGUCUAGGCAGUUGAAGAUAGUUACUUUCUUCAUCAUCAUUCUCCGUUUCGGUCUGAAAUUGUUGUAUGAGUUUGAGCAGCACAAUGAGGGCAUGCCGUCCACUUCCAAGUCCAUGUUCUAGAGAUUUGUUUAAACAUUUUAAACAAUGCAGAAGAAGGGUGUUCGGAAAGGCCAUUCCACGAAAGAUCUAAAGCAUUGUCUACCACUCUAAUAUCUACCGAUAUUGAAAGUCCAACAUCAUAUUUUUUUUGACGAAUAAAAUUUCGACGUUGACCAUUGAUAGCGUAGUAGUGUGCUACCGUCACUUCACAAGGCAUUUUAAAUCCGCUCUUUGUCUUCUGCUCCACCACAACAAGACUCCCCUCAUCUUCACUCCAAUUGUAUGCAACGUUCGUUUUUGUAACACCAUCCCACCGAUUCUUAGUCUCGUUAACAAAAUUAGUUCCGCGACAAAAGAGUCCGAAUGCAUCAGUAUUAAUUUGAUUAAGAAGAUUGUUUUCAGCUCUAUCUAUAACUAAACAAAUAAAUUCAGGUUUGAAGAAAUGAAAUUGUAAGCGCUUGACGAGACCAUCUCUGUCGUAUGUUGUCUCUAAGACGAAUCUGAUAUUUGAUCAACCUAUGUAAUAUGACAUAUACCAUGCCUCCAACUUUCCUUCUUCCAAGUAACGUUCUUGUUUACCACAUGUGAUAUCGACACUUGUUUUCACGUUGUUGAGAAGAUUAUUUCCCAUGUGAAUUUUGCUUAUAUUUUAUUUCGGAUGGAGCAUAUAUUUGCACAAGAACUUGCAUUAAUACUGAAC
rnacentral:lncRNA from 1 species